rnacentral:rRNA from 1 species
AUUGAACGCUGGCGGCAUGCCUUACACAUGCAAGUCGAACGGCAGCGGGGACUUCGGUCCGCCGGCGAGUGGCGAACGGGUGAGUAAUGUAUCGGAACGUACCUUUCAGUGGGGGAUAACGUAGCGAAAGUUACGCUAAUACCGCAUAUUCUCUGAGGAGGAAAGCAGGGGACCUUCGGGCCUUGUGCUGAUGGAGCGGCCGAUAUCAGAUUAGCUAGUUGGCGAGGUAAAGGCUCACCAAGGCGACGAUCUGUAGCGGGUCUGAGAGGAUGAUCCGCCACACUGAGACUGGGACACGGCCCAGAGUCCUGCGGGAGGCAGCAGUGGGGAAUUUUGGACAAUGGGCGCAAGCCUGAUCCAGCCAUGCCGCGUGAGUGAAGAAGGCCUUCGGGUUGUAAAGCUCUUUCGGACGGGAAGAAAUUGGUGGGGCUAAUAUCCCCAUCGGAUGACGGUACCGUAAUAAGAAGCACCGGCUAACUACGUGCCAGCAGCAGCCGCAGUAA